AAAGGAAUUGACGGGGACCCGCACAAGCGGUGGAUGAUGUGGAUUAAUUCGAUGCAACGCGAAAAACCUUACCUACCCUUGACAUGGCAGGAACUCCGCAGAGAUGUGGAGGUGCCCGAAAGGGAGCCUGCGCACAGGUGCUGCAUGGCUGUCGUCAGCUCGUGUCGUGAGAUGUUGGGUUAAGUCCCGCAACGAGCGCAACCCUUGUCACUAGUUGCUACGAAAGGGCACUCUAGUGAGACCGCCGGUGACAAACCGGAGGAAGGUGGGGAUGACGUCAAGUCCUCAUGGCCCUUAUGGGUAGGGCUUCACACGUCAUACAAUGGUCGGUACAGAGGGUUGCCAACCCGCGAGGGGGAGCCAAUCCCAGAAAGCCGAUCGUAGUCCGGAUUGCAGUCUGCAACUCGACUGCAUGAAGUCGGAAUCGCUAGUAAUCGCGGAUCAGCAUGUCGCGGUGAAUACGUUCCCGGGUCUUGCACACACCGCCCGU
rnacentral:rRNA from 1 species